AGCAGCCGCGGUAAUUCCAGCUCCAAUAGCGUAUAUUAAAGUUGUUGCAGUUAAAAAGCUCGUAGUUGAAUUUCGGGGUCAGUAAGUUGGUCGUGCCACUGGUAUGUACUGGCUUUACUGAUUCCUCCUUCUUGUAGAACCGUAAUGCCAUUAAGUUGGUGUUGCGGGAGAACAGGACUGUUACUUUGAAAAAAUUAGAGUGCUUAAAGCAAGCUAACGCUUGAAUACAUUAGCAUGGAAUAAUGAAAUAGGACGUUCGAUCCUAUUUUGUUGGUUUCUAGGAUUGACGUAAUGAUUAAUAGGGAUAGUUGGGGGCAUUAGUAUUCAAUUGUCAGAGGUGAAAUUCUUGGAUUUAUUGAAGACUAACUACUGCGAAAGCAUUUGCCAAGGAUGUUUUCAUUAAUCAAGAACGAAAGUUAGGGGAUCGAAGACGAUCAGAUACCGUCGUAGUCUUAACCAUAAACUAUGCCGACUAGGGAUCGGAUGAUGUUAAUUUUUUAAUGACUCAUUCGGCGCCUUA
rnacentral:rRNA from 1 species